rnacentral:RNase_P_RNA from 2 species
CCAGUUGGCCGGGCAGCCGCGCUUUACCAAUGUCGAAAGACGGUAAGGGGAGGAAAGUCCGGGCUCCACGGAAACACGGUGCCGGAUAACGUCCGGCGGGGGCGACCCUAGGGAAAGUGCCACAGAGAGGAAACCGCCUCGAUUGUCCGAUGCCCAGCAUCGGGCGCUGCGAGGUAAGGGUGAAAGGGUGGGGUAAGAGCCCACCGCGUCGCUGGCAACAGGGACGGCAUGGUAAACCCCACCGGGAGCAAGACCGAAUAGGGAUGACGCGGGUGACGCGAAAGCGCCGCCACAGCCUGUUUCCGGGCCAGUCAUCCGGGUGGGUUGCGAGAGGCAGCGUGCAAAUGCUGUCCCAGAUGAAUGGCUGCCACGUUCCGGGCAACCGGAGCCAUACAGAACCCGGCUUACAGGCCAACUGGCAAA